rnacentral:rRNA from 1 species
UACGUAGGGGGCGAGCGUUGUCCGGAAUCAUUGGGCGUAAAGAGCGUGUAGGCGGCUUGGCAAGUCUGACGUGAAAGCCCGCGGCUCAACCGCGGAUUGUCGUUGGAAACUGCCUCGCUAGAGUCCGGAAGAGGAGAGCGGAAUUCCUGGUGUAGCGGUGGAAUGCGCAGAUAUCAGGAAGAACACCCGUGGCGAAGGCGGCUCUCGUGGGACGGUACUGACGCUGAGACGCGAAAGCGUGGGGAGCGAACAG